CUACCCUUGACAUGUCCGGAAUCCUGCAGAGAUGCGGGAGUGCCCGAAAGGGAAUCGGAACACAGGUGCUGCAUGGCUGUCGUCAGCUCGUGUCGUGAGAUGUUGGGUUAAGUCCCGCAACGAGCGCAACCCUUAUCAUUAGUUGCUACGCAAGGGCACUCUAAUGAGACUGCCGGUGACAAACCGGAGGAAGGUGGGGAUGACGUCAAGUCCUCAUGGCCCUUAUGGGUAGGGCUUCACACGUCAUACAAUGGUCGGUACAGAGGGUUGCCAAGCCGCGAGGUGGAGCCAAUCCCAGAAAGCCGAUCGUAGUCCGGAUUGUUCUCUGCAACUCGAGAGCAUGAAGUCGGAAUCGCUAGUAAUCGCGGAUCAGCAUGCCGCGGUGAAUACGUUCCC
rnacentral:rRNA from 1 species